ensembl:lncRNA
GUUUUUUGUAGCAGUGUUAUUUCCAGAAUAAAGCUAUUAAUUUUGCCUCUUGACUCUACUCAUGUUCACUAGGCAGAUUUUGUGCCUUGAAAUGUGAGUGUCUUCUUAAAUAAGAGGAGGAUAAGAAAGGUCAGUGGGGGAAAUGUGAGAAGAGAAAAACAAGCAAAAAUACACCACUAGGUAGAAAGGGAGUGGAGAGGUGGUGCUGAGGUGGUAGAGCCACCUGCUAUUUUCAAGCUGAGGUUGUUGCACUGGGGACUGGCUGGGAAGUGGGGAGCAGCAGAAGAAUGAGCAUCAGCGGUGCAGCAGCUGAGGUGGUCAGGGAGGAAAUCCCACGGUGAAGCCCGUGGUGCAGGGGGUGACGGUGGGUGGAAAUGCCUCCCUGCCUGGGAGGGAGGAAGGAAAAGAAGCAUUCAGAGCUCUGGGAGCAGGAAAGAAGACCAGCUUUUUUGCCACUCUAGAAAGCAAUUAUUAGACGGGGUUCGUAAUUGCUAUCUUUUCAUGAAUUGACUGAGAAAUGUGAAAGGACUGUGCAGGAAUUGCCAUGGCACCUGCUGUUGAUUAGCAGGGCUACUAAUAAAACCAAGUUAAUGUCACAGUGUAAGGCUUGGCUCUUAUCCUGCUUUCAUAUCAGGGUCCUGUUUGUGUACAUCAGGAAGUCUGGGAUGUGAUGGGAUGCAAUGGAGAGGAGAUGGCAGCCAUGAGUGGAGAGCAGCCAGCCUGGCCUCACUGCUGUCAUGAGGAGCCUGCCAGGAUGGAGCAGUUCAUGCCAUCCAUGAGUCAUCUGGCUAACUGAACCCGAGGUUGGGAGCACAGACCCACUACAAGCUUGGUUUUUCCUUCUGAAGUGUGGGACACACAACUUGAAUCCUGGUGCCUGUACCUGGCAUGUAUUUCAGAGCCCUGAGCUUUCAGUGUGCUGGUGGCUGCUCCCAUACAUAGCUCAUAGCGUGCUUGCUGAGCAUACACACCUCUGUGUUGAGCAAAAGGUGAAUGCAGAUGUGCCCAUCACUUACUUGCCUUGCCUGAAUGAAAGCAAAGUUUAUGAAAAUGGGUGUUGAGCCUUGAUUAACUAUGUGUGCUUGGUAUAUACACUCUAUUCUCUGUCUAGGAGUGACUGCAGUAUUUAUUUGUGAAAUGUCUGCCUAUUUUAGACUCCUUUGGACAGUCCAUGAAGCUCUGGAGGGGGGAUUAGGUUAAAUGUAAAGAAGUGUUUUACAAUAAGGGUGGUGAGGCACUGGCACAGGUUGCCUGGUGAGGUGGUGGGUGCCCCGUCCCUGAAGUCAACCAAGGUCAGACUGGACAGGGCUCUGAGCUCCUGAUGGAGCUGUAGGUGUCCCUGUUCAUUGCAGAGGAGUUGAACUAUGUGACCUUUAAAGGUCUUUUCCAACACAAACAAGACUGUGAUUCUAUGAUUCUCUUUCUUGUGAGAAGGAGACGGUUUUUACUUUAGGAACUAAAAGCAGUUGCUCACCCUAGUAAUGUUACACUUAAAAUGUGUUAGAGGCAUGUGACCACAGUGUAAGGCCUUCUUCACAAUUUCCGUGUGAAAUGUUAUGGGCUGUCAUGCAGUACAAUCUACAUAUACCUUUGAUACUAGAGGAGAAAUCAAUAAAUCUGCUUUUGAGAUGUUUGUUGAGGAUGUA